AGUGAACGCUGGCGGUAGGCCUAACACAUGCAAGUCGAACGGCAGCACAGUAAGAGCUUGCUCUUACGGGUGGCGAGUGGCGGACGGGUGAGGAAUACAUCGGACUCUACUUUUUCGUGGGGGAUAACGUAGGGAAACUUACGCUAAUACCGCAUACGCCCUACGGGUGAAAGCAGGGGAUCUUCGGACCUUGCGCGAUUGAAUGCGCCGAUGUCGGAUUAGCUAGUUGGCGGGGUAAAGGCCCACCAAGGCGACGAUCCGUAGCUGGUCUGAGAGGAUGAUCAGCCGCACUGGAACGGAGACACGGUCCAGACUCCUACGGGAGGCAGCAGUGGGGAAUAGUGGACAAUGGGCGCAAGCCUGAUCCAGCCAUACCGCGUGGGUGAAGAAGGCCUUCGGGUUGUAAAGCCCUUUUGUUGGGAAAGAAAAGCAGCAGGUUAAUACCCCGCUGUUCUGACGGUACCCGAAGAAUAAGCACCGGCUAACUUCGUG
rnacentral:rRNA from 1 species